ensembl:lncRNA
CUUAAAGGAGAGGUGUAUAAAUCAUCUGUCAUAGAGUUAGUCUGAUGCCUUAAAGGAGAGGUGUAUAAAUCAUGUCAUAGAGAUAGCCUGGAGCCUUCAAGGAGAGGUGUAUAAAUCAUCUGUCAUUGAGUUAGUCUGGAGCCUUAAAGGAGAGGUGUAUAAAUCAUCUGUCAUAGAGUUAGUCUGAUGCCUUAAAGGAGAGGUGUAUAAAUCAUCUGUCAUUGAGUUAGUCUGGAGCCUUAAAGGUGAGGUGUAUAAAUCAUCUGUCAUAGAGUUAGUCUGAUGCCUUAAAGAAGAGGUGUAUAAAUCAUCUGUCAUAGAGUUAGUCUGAUGCCUUAAAGGAGAGGUGUAUAAAUCAUCUGUCAUUGAGUUAGUCUGGAGCCUUAAAGGUGAGGUGUAUAAAUCAUCUGUCAUAGAGUUAGCCUGGAGCCUUAAAGGAGCGGUUUAUAAAUUGGACUUGACAUGGAUCUUAUGAUGCCAUGGAGAAUCAGGAAGAGAGAGGGCAACACCCAUGUAUGUCAAAGUCACAGGGUGGGUGACAUAGUGACAUGAUCCUUCAAAACAGUGACACAGUGACAAGAUGAUGAGCAUCCCAGUCAGAUUCUCCACACUGUCUGCCCUGUCUGUGGUUUAAGAUAACAUUAGUUCACCACGCUGUCUGAGAGAGAGAGAGAGAGAGAGAGAGAGACGCAGGGAGAAAGAGGCAGAGAGAGAGAGAGACGCAGGGAGAAAGAGGCAGAGAGAGAGAAAAACAGAGAAAGAAAGGCAGAGAGAAAAAGAGGCAGAGAAAGAGAGAAGUAGAGAGAGAGGGGCAGAGAGAAAAAGAGAGAGAGGCAGAGAGAGAGAGGCAGAGAAAGAGAGAGAGAGAGAGGCAGAGAGAGAGAGAGGCAGAGAGAGUGAGAGAGGCAGAGAAUGAGAGGCAGUUCACCAGAGAGAGAGAGAGAGAGAGAGAGAGAGAGAGAGAGAGAGAGAGAGAGAGAGAGAGAGAGAGAGAGAGAGAGAGAGAGAGAGAGAGAGAGAGAGAGAGAGAGAGAGAGAGAGAGAGAGAGAGAGAGAGAGAGGCAAAGAGAGAGAGAGAGAGGCAAAGAGAGAGAGAGAGAGGCAAAGAGAGAGAGAGAGAGAGG